rnacentral:rRNA from 1 species
GAUGAACGCUAGCGGCAGGCUUAAUACAUGCAAGUCAAGGGGGUAGCAAUACAACCGGCGCACGGGUGAGUAACGCGUACACAACAUACCAUAUACUGGAGUAUAGCUUUGGGAAACUGAAGGUAAUCCUCCAUAACAUUGCGAGAGGGCAUCUGAUUGCAAUUAAAGUUUCGGCGGUAUAUGAUUGGUGUGCGUUUGAUUAGCUAGUUGGUAGGGUAACGGCCUACCAAGGCGACGAUCAAUAGCUGGCGUGAGAGCGCGACCAGCCACACUGGAACUGAGACACGGUCCAGACUCCUACGGGAGGCAGCAGUAGGGAAUAUUGGACAAUGGAGGAAACUCUGAUCCAGCCAUGCCGCGUGAUAGAUGAAGGCCCUCUGGGUUGUAAAUAUCUUUUACCUGGGAAGAAACACUCCUAUUCUUAGGAACUUGACGGUACCAGAGGAAUAAGCACCGGCUAACUCCGUGCCAGCAGCCGCGGUAAAGU